rnacentral:rRNA from 1 species
GACGGAGGAUGCAAGCGUUAUCCGGAAUUAUUGGGCGUAAAGCGUCCGCAGGUGGCAGUUCAAGUCUGCUGUCAAAGACCGGGGCUUAACUUCGGAAAGGCAGUGGAAACUGAACAGCUAGAGUAUGGUAGGGGCAGAGGGAAUUCCUGGUGUAGCGGUGAAAUGCGUAGAUAUCAGGAAGAACAUCGGUGGCGAAGGCGCUCUGCUGGACCAUAACUGACACUCAGGGACGAAAGCUAGGGGAGCGAAUGGG